CCCGUAACGAGCGCAACCCUUGUCCUUAGUUACCAGCACGUCAUGGUGGGCACUCUAAGGAGACUGCCGGUGACAAACCGGAGGAAGGUGGGGAUGACGUCAAGUCAUCAUGGCCCUUACGGCCUGGGCUACACACGUGCUACAAUGGUCGGUACAGAGGGUUGCCAAGCCGCGAGGUGGAGCUAAUCUCACAAAACCGAUCGUAGUCCGGAUCGCAGUCUGCAACUCGACUGCGUGAAGUCGGAAUCGCUAGUAAUCGCGAAUCAGAAUGUCGCGGUGAAUACGUU
rnacentral:rRNA from 1 species